GAUUGCGUCACGCGACGUGUUUAUGUUGUUGUUCUUGAACAGGUGUCUGUCGGUAGCAUAAAGUUUUGUUCUGUUAGAGCAAAGAUGAUAACCGACUUAGCAGAUGAUUACGCAUCAUACUUUAAACUUGACGUAAAUAAAGAGAUAUCUCCAGUAAUGGAAACAAUAGAAGAUAUGUUAACUCGCCUGGAAGAGUUUGAAAGCCUGAUGGAUAUGGUGCGAACAGAUGUUACUCAGUCAGCUGUUGCCACAGUGCCAGAUAUUGUGGCCUGUAAGUCAGAACUGCGGACACUUUGUGAUCGUAUAGAUUGCCUUGAGGCACUGGUGACACGUGUGCGACGUGAUUUGGACACUGUCGAGUCUCAGCUUGACACUGCGGAAGCAACUGUUGGUGGUGAAGGUGUCAUAAGGAACAUGCUCAAGCCACUUUUUUUUAAGAACAUGAACAUCAUAUUGCAAGUAAAAAGCAGAAAUCAGAACCUCUCAGUUUAUAUGGUUACAGAAGUAAAGAAGGGAAGGCUGAAAGAUGGGUGGAACAAAUCUAAGGGCUGUACAAAUGAAACAAACUUGAAGACAGUGUUACAGAAAUGGAAGAGGAGUUAGAUGAAGAUGGAUUAGAAGGUGAUGAAGACAAUUAGGUGAAGAUAUGAUACUGGGAAAAGAGCAUUGAAAGACCUAGUCCAAACAAGACAUUCUCUCACAAUUUUUGAGGCCUUUGGGAGAACCAUUCAUGACAAAAUUAUUCCAUAUGGUAAGAAAGAUGUAUGAGGCAGGCAAAAAAUCCUUAGACUUCAAGAAGAGGGCAAUCAUUCCAAUUCCAAGAAAGAAAAAGUCUGAUCCACUGUCAAGGGCAGCCAGUUCUCCACCAUACCAGCCACCUGAAAUUUUCAAAACAGAUGACUAUUUUCCAAAAACUGAGGAGUUAGGAGCAGCAUCGAAUGAUUGAAGAUUUCUGUGGAGAGG